AAUAUUGGACAAUGGGGGCAACCCUGAUCCAGCCAUCCCGCGUGUGUGAAGAGGGUCCUUGGAUUGUAAAGCACUAUAAGAUGGGAGGAAGGGCUUUAGGUUAAUACACUGAUGUUUUGACGUUGCCAACAGAAUAAGCACCGUCUAACUCUGUGCCAGCAGCCGCGGUAAUACAGCGGGUGCAAGCGUUAAUCGGAAUUACUGGGCGUAAAGCGCGCGUAGGUGGUUCAGUAAGAUGGGUGUGAAAUCCCCGGGCUUAACCUGGGAACUGCUUUCAUAACUGCUGAGCUAGAGUACGGUAGAGGGUAGUGGAAUUUCCUGUGUAGCGGUGAAAUGCGUAGAUAUAGGAAGGAACACCAGUGGCGAAGGCGACUACCUGGACUGAUACUGACACUGAGGUGCGAAAGCGUGGGGAGCAAAC
rnacentral:rRNA from 1 species